CGUGGCUGCAGUCCCAGCUACUCGGGAGGCUGAGGCGGGAGGAUCACCUGAGCCCAGGUCAAAGUGGCAGUGAACUGAGAUUCUGUCACUGCACUCGACUUGGGCAACCGGAAUGAGACCCUGCCUCAAAAAAAAAAAAAAAAAAAAAGAAAAAGAAAAAGGUCUAAUCAAUUAAAAUUGCUGUUCUGCUACAGACACUCAGGUAGUUCUGCAGGAUUUGGUACACUCAGCAACCUGGGACUUCCCAGCCAACUUGCUCCUGGAGCCUAAGAGCACCUUCUUCAUCCAUUCACCCGUGUCCACACAAAACGUCCUGUGCCAUGCUGUGAAAGCAGGUGGGGCUUUGGGACAUCUAUAAGAGGCAGCAUAUGAACAGUAUGUGCUUGAACAAUAAGGC
rnacentral:lncRNA from 10 species